rnacentral:tRNA from 1 species
GGUCCUGUGGCGCAACGGAUAACGCGUUGAUUACGGAUCAGAAGACUCCAGGUUUGAUUCCUGUCAGGAUCG